GGGAAUGUGGCUUAGUGGUAGAGUGCUUGCAUAGCAUGCAUGAAGCCCUGGGUUCAAUUCCUCAGUACCA
rnacentral:tRNA from 1 species